rnacentral:lncRNA from 1 species
UAUCUCAUCUGACUGCAGCAAUUCAAUUGGGGUGGUCAUCAAGGAGUAGAAUUGCCUCCACUUCAUCAACCAGUGAUCAUCGCACUGAACAGAGCACUCAUCGAGCCCUGAUGUUGAUUCUUCGCCAUCGUCCAGGUGGUCAUUCAGUCUCAAAUGAUUCUAGAGUUGCAUUUAGUUUAAAUUCAUUAUAUUCUCAUCUAAUUUUUUACACUUUU